rnacentral:lncRNA from 1 species
CUUUAUUAGCCAGAAAAAGAAAAGGGCUCUCUCUCUCUCUCUCUCUCUCUCUCUCUCUCUCUCUCUCUCUCUCUCUCCAUAUCGCUAUCUCCCGUCAGUAAGCCCUUAAGCUUCCUCAACCAAAAAAUCUUCGAUCUUCACAUCGCUCUUUCCCCUCAACUGCCUCUAUGGAAGAGCGCCCUCUUCAUCGUCAGCAUCCUCUUCGUUGUCGGUGUCUUCUUCGUUGUUGGCAUCUUGGAUUACUGGGUUGCAAUUUCAAUUGGGGUUUGAGAUUAUUUUUCUCCAAUCGAAUGCUAUGAGUUCUCUAAGCUAAUCUUCUCUCUUCAUUUCUUCUUUGAUAGUUUUGUAGGUUUGUUGAGUAUAUAAAGAGUUUGACUAGUCUUAUCUUAUGUUCGACUUUCUCCCCUCCAAGGAAGAUUCAGAGGUUCUAGGUAUUGCUAAUAGUAAAGAUAUUUUGCUGCAUCUAUUUUGAAAGGAAAGAUUUUAGCUUUGGGUUCAUUUGGAAUAUUACAUGAAUAUCAAGUUCAAGCUCAAUUGCGAGAACAUCAUCUGAAGGGGUGAGAUCAGAACUUGUGUAAACCAGAUUUGUUGUCAUGACCAUUAGUGGAACUUGGAUUUUAACUUUAGAUAACACAAUAAUUAUACGUGAUUAUUUAUAUAAUUUUGUUAGGUUGUAUUUAGGAUCAAUGUCACGUUUGUAAAGAAUUUCCCUAUCUACAGUUUUUAGUUUCUUUCUCACUCAAAAAACUAAUAGAUGCCGAAGUUGAGAUACUAUACUAAGCUUAGUUGUGUUACUGUAUUUUGACUUUAACCCUUUUCUUCCUCUAGGUUAUUAAUGAUGGCACGGGCUGCAUAUGUUGAAUUAAUUGUCGGUUGUCAUUUACUGCUUUAUUGUGCAAGUCUUAGGCUUUAACUCAUAAAUUUUCCCUAGGAUUGAAGGCUUUGUCAAGUUGAAUUCUAUUGUGUAUGUAUGUUUAUGUCAUUUUUCUGCUUUCUUGGUUUAAGUCUUAGACUUGCACUCUUUAAGUAUUCCUUAGAAAUAGAGGCUUUGUUGAGUUGAAUUCAUUGGAUCUGUUUGCUGCUUCUAUACUAUGUUGAACUUUAUUAGUAUGGUAUAUUGUCAAUAAUAAUUUGUCAUUUCUAGCAGUCAUGGUCACCUAUGAUAUUAGACAUUGCCCGGAAGGCUUUUCUCCAUAGUGUACGCCACUUUCUUAUUUUAAAUAUGUGAAGUAGAAAUUGUUUCCAUUGAAUAUGGAUUGUUAUGCUAUGAGGAUGGAUAAAUUUGUACCUUACCAAGCAGAUGUAAGGGGCUUUAUUGCAGCUUAUGCAAAAGCAGUAAAAAACAUAACCUAUUUCUUGUUGUCUAUGAAUUUAGUGGUGCUACAAAUGAAGUGGUGCUCUAUUUUGAAAAUACCAAUUCUCAAGCAGCAAACAGUAAAAGGUUUGUCUGUCUAUUGAUUGUCUUUAUUCCCCUAAAUGUCUACAUAUGCAUGUAGGAGAUCUAAUAAUUAUUCAAAAAUUGCAUCUUUGAGUUUUGUAGGUCUAGAUGCAGCAUUUAUUGGACCCAAUGAAAAUCAAUUUGCAGUUCUUGAUGAUGAUAAGAUUGGACUGGUUUUUAUAUAUUUUGCCUGAAAAAGUUCUCUGGAAGCUAAUGAAAAGAAUCUAUUGUCUGAAGAGAGCCAACCUGUGGAAAUAGAUGGUACAAAAGAAUAGAAUCCUAAUACUCUUUUAAUUUAUUCCAUAUAUCUGAAGUUGUUGCAUGGCUUUAAUUUAUGGGUUUUGGUUCAUUCUCCGUUGCAUAUAAAAUUACAUGGAUUAUUAAUGCAUAUAUUUAUUCUAUACUGUGAAAGAUAUUCUCUUUAGUAACUGAUAUAGAUCACUCAGGUAUUUGACAUCAUGGCUCUGAGUUUUCUUUUUCUUUUAACUUUGGUUUCUUUUAAGAAUAUGAGUUUGAUUUCAAAUUUUAACCGAACUAUAUAUGUAUCUUUUAGAAAGUCCACUGAACUAUAUGUGGUGAAAUUCAUGAAGUUAUUUUCUAUUUAAUUACCUAGUUGACACUUUGUAACUAAUUUUUAUUAAUACAUUGGAUUUCAAUGUCUUUUUGGAUUGCAUUAAUAACCAAAUAAUUGAAGAAACAAUACAAAAAUAAUGUCUUUUCCAUCAUGGAGGGCAUGUGGCCAUGACUUUCUCCCUAGAGGAUAAGCUUAAUUCAAAGCUUUGAUUUUACUUCACAAUGUUUAUUUAUUCUUUCUUGGUUUUACACAUUUGAUGAUGGCAUUGUUUUCUUAUAUAAUUGCAAGGAUUGUGACAAGGCGGCAUUUGGUGUUGCAGCUCCACAAGGCAAAUAAAGGAACUAAGAAGUACGUUGAGUUCCUUCACCUUCCCUUUGGUGUUUUAAUUCUUUUCUUUUUUGGCUAUUUUUCAGACCAUGAAAUGUGCAGACUUUGUUUGAGAGUAAAUGUGCUAAGAUCAUGGAUGAAGUUUGGGAGUUUGGGUUCAAGCCUUGAACAGAGUAUGACUUUCAGAGGAGUAAGCUUUACAUGUUACUUGAUCAGAUCCAUUUAUCUUUUUUCUCGUUUGGGUUUAUGGAUUUGUAUUUUUGACUAUAUUUCGCUUUGGUAGCAGAUAAACACAUGGGGAAACAUAUCGGUUUACUUGAUUUUGAGUGUCUUAAAUUUUGGUAAAAUAUCGAUUUACUUGCAUUUGGUAAAUAUCGAUUUAAAUUUUGGGAAACAACAUAUCUUAUGCAAAUUUAGUACCUACUUUUUAAGCUUAUGUUCAUAUUUCUAUUGUUUGUGCUUACAUUUUACAUGCUCUUUUUUUUUUCCUUCAUUAUAGAGCUAGACAGAAGGACACGUACACCCAAAUGCAAUUGGACGAGGUGCAAGAAGAAUUGGCAACUCAUGUCCUAGAGGGGCUUUUUUUUAUUGAACUAAACAUUCCUCCUUCAUUUUACUUGUCUUUUUGGCUAGUAUUUUGCUUAUGUAUAGACAAGCAUGGAUCAUUUGUGGUGUGGGGUUGCAAAAAUUGUGAUUUGGAUGUGACAAGUAUGGAUGUAUUUAAAUUAAUAUAUAUAUAUAUAUAUAUACACAGUCCC